AUGGAUAGUGUCAACCGUAACUACCUCUCGUUUCUAUCUUGGAAUGUUCAAGGCCUCGAUGACAAGGACAAAUGCUCUCUUGUCCUCUCGUCUUUCAAGCACCUGGACGUGGACGGCUCGCGUGGCGGGCUGAUCACGGCCUGGGACAACGCUGCGCUCCAUCUCGUCUCCUGCCACUAUGGCAGGUACACUCUUUCCACCGAGUUAUCCUCCACUUCCUCCGAUCUCGACUUCUUGAUUACUAACGUCUAUGCCCCAUCUGACCACGCCUUCACGCAAGAUUUUGUGGAUGAGAUGAUGGCUAUCUUUGUUACGGUCUCGGGGCCCUGGCUUGUGCUUGGCGAUUUCAACCUUAUCAGAUACCCCGAGGAGAAAAAUAAUGACAACUUCUCCGCUUCUCUUGCGUCAAGAUUCAAUGCCAUGAUCGAUGCCCUCUUGUGGGUUGAGCUCCCUCUCUCUGACCGCUUGUUCACCUGGACAAAUCGC
rnacentral:rRNA from 1 species